AGAACGAACGCUGGCGGCAGGCUUAACACAUGCAAGUCGAACGCCCCGCAAGGGGAGUGGCAGACGGGUGAGUAACGCGUGGGAAUCUACCUAGCUCUACGGAAUAGCUUCGGGAAACUGGAAUUAAUACCGUAUACGCCCCAAGGGGGAAAGAUUUAUCGGAGUUAGAUGAGCCCGCGUUGGAUUAGCUAGUUGGUGGGGUAAUGGCCUACCAAGGCGACGAUCCAUAGCUGGUCUGAGAGGAUGAUCAGCCACACUGGGACUGAGACACGGCCCAGACUCCUACGGGAGGCAGCAGUGGGGAAUAUUGGACAAUGGGCGAAAGCCUGAUCCAGCCAUGCCGCGUGAGUGAUGAAGGCCUUAGGGUUGUAAAGCUCUUUCAGUGGGGAAGAUAAUGACGGUACCACAGAAGAAGCCCCGGCUAACUUCGUGCCAGCAGCCGC
rnacentral:rRNA from 1 species